rnacentral:rRNA from 1 species
AUUGAACGCUGGCGGCAGGCCUAACACAUGCAAGUCGAGCGGUUGACGGGAGCUUGCUCCCUGAUUCAGCGGCGGACGGGUGAGUAAUGCCUAGGAAUCUGCCUAUUAGUGGGGGACAACGUUUCGAAAGGAACGCUAAUACCGCAUACGUCCUACGGGAGAAAGCAGGGGACCUUCGGGCCUUGCGCUAAUAGAUGAGCCUAGGUCGGAUUAGCUUGUUGGUGAGGUAAUGGCUCACCAAGGCGACGAUCCGUAACUGGUCUGAGAGGAUGAGCAGUAACCCUGGAACGGAGAAACGGUCCAGGCUCCUACGGGAGGCAGCAGUGGGGAAUAUUAGACAAUGGGAGAAAGCCUGAUCCAGCCAUGCCGCGUGUGUGAAGAAGGUCUUCGGAUUGUAAAGCACUUUAAGUUGGGAGGAAGGGUUGUAGAUUAAUACUCUGCAAUUUUGACGUUACCGACAGAAUAAGCACCGGCUAACUCUGUGCCAGCCGCCGCAGUAAGAC